rnacentral:tRNA from 1 species
GCCAGUGUGCUCAGUGGUUAGAGCAUCGGCCCACACACUGAGGGGUCGUGGGUUCAAUUCCCGGUCACAGGCA